rnacentral:rRNA from 1 species
CCUACGGGGGGCUGCAGUGGGGAAUAUUGGGCAAUGGAGGCAACUCUGACCCAGCAACGCCGCGUGAAUGAUGAAGGUCUUCGGAUUGUAAAGUUCUGUGAUGGGGGAUGAACACAAUGACGGUACCCCAAUAGCAAGCCACGGCUAACUACGUGCCAGCGGCCUCGGUAAUAAGCAGGUGGCAUGCGUUAUCCGGAAUGACUGGGCGUAAAGGGUGCGUAGGUGGUUUAGUAAGUUGGCGGUGAAAUUCCGGGGCUCAACCUCGAUGGUACCGACAAAAUUAGUAGACUAGAGUGCAGGGGGGGUAAGUGGAAUUCCUGGUGUAGCGGUGGAAUGCGUAGAUAUUAGGAGGAACAUCAGGGGCGAAGGCGACUUACUGGACUGUAACUGACACUGAGGCACGAAAGCGUGGGGAGCAAACAGGAUUAGAUACCCCUGUAGUC